AUGCGUUAAACCCAUCACAAGACUUCCGGCUUCAGCUUCUUCGCCCUCUUGUGGCUGGGGAUAGCAGUUUCUUGUGUUCUUAAUGUGUCUGAACCUUGAAAAAAAGCUGUAAGAACACGAUAAUAAUAUAAGGAUCCAUGUCUCCUAUCAGUCCACAGGAGAGAAGACCUCACACACCAGUUAUUCAGGAAUGGAGCACAUUACCUACCAUUUCUUGGUUUAUUGUGGUUACUCGUUCCUUGCAACCAGGUUCCCUUACUAUGGUUCCAUCGUGGAUGGGCAGAAGGUAGAUCUGGAUCUACUGACAGAUGUCUGGGUGAUUUGCUGUAGAUCAGGCAUAUGUCUGGCUCCUAGUUGUUUCACAAUAGUAGCAACAAAAUCUCUAAAUUACACUGCUGAAAUGAAGAAAGCUCUGUAACCCACAGUGAAUCUGUGUGCGAAAGGACUCUAGGUUCCAUUCAUUUUUUGAUACUAAGAACUAAUUCCUGAGCUUAGAAUUCUUUAUUUCUAAUUGUAUGUCUUUUGAACCAAAUUCUAGUGGUGGAUCUCAGGGUUCUAGUAAAAGAUAAAAGCAGAUUCUAGAGACAUAAAGUUCUGUCCAACUAAGUUGUACUCAGAGUAAACCCAUUGAGAUUAAUGAACCUAAUGGAUAUUAUUUAUGUCAAUGGUUUUACUCUGAGUAGGACUAAUACUGGAUACAACCCCCUGAAGUCUGCCACCCCCCCACACACCUCAUUGCACACUCUCUAGUCAUCAUCCUCUGUAACAAGGUACCUCUGAAAAUAAUUGUCUUGAUACUUGUAUCCCUGAUCUAAUUUAGUUGAGAUAUAUCAAGAAGUAAUUUCAUUUCAUAUAGUAUAUUAACAUUUUUGCUACACUAUAAGAUACAGGAACAAUGCACAGCAUUACAUGUGGGUUAUGUUGCUGUAAACCAACAACAGCUUCAUGGUACAGAAGCUAGCAAAAGCAGAUAUACCAAAAAAAGAUUAACAAAUCUGACAUCUCUGUAUAUUUCUGUUUAUUUGUUUUGAUUUUUUAAAC